rnacentral:rRNA from 1 species
UACGAAGGGGGCUAGCGUUGUUCGGAAUUACUGGGCGUAAAGCGCGCGCAGGCGGUUCUCCAAGUCAGUGGUGAAAGCCCCGGGCUCAACUCGGGAGGGUCGCGGCGAACUGGGAGGCUUGAGGCCGGUAGAGGUGGGUGGAACUCCUGGUGGAGUGGUGAAAUGCGUAGAGAUCAGGAAGAACACCCGUGGCGAAGGCGGCCCACUGGGCCGGUGCUGACGCUGAGGCGCGAAGGCGUGGGGAGCGAACGGG